UUUUCCGUGCCAACUCAUUCAAUAUGGCGGGCGGCAAGAAACUCACAAAAGAAGACGAAAUUUUGCUGCAAAAUUUCAGCAGAACCGUUUCAACUAAAUCUUCAGCAUUAUUCUAUGCCAAUGCAUUCUUCGUCUCAGCCAUUCCUCUCUGGUUGUUUUGGAGGAUUCACCAAAUGGAUCCUUAUUCAUCUGGCAUCAUGUUCGUCGUUAUGACUCUCGCCAGUACGUGGCUAGUGGCUUUUGCCUACAAGAACGUGAAGUUUCAGUUGAAACAUAAGAUUGCCCAACGAAGAGAUGCCUCAGUUACCAAAGAAGUCAGCAUGGAGCUGGAUUCUAAUAAGAAGCUGACCCGCCAAGAAAAGGAUGAAAGAAUCCUUUGGAAAAAGAACAAGGUUGCUGAAACUGAAGCCAUUACCUUCUCCAUAUUUUACAACAAUGCCUUGUACCUGUUUUUGGUCCUGAUAGCUUCAUUUUAUGUUCUGCGGACAUUUAAUCCUGCUGCAAACUACCUACUCUCCACAUCCAUAGCUGGUGGUGUCCUUGCUCUGCUGUCUACUGGAUCAUCCUCCUAAGAAACAGAUGGAUUAUUGUGGCUCAGCUGAUUUCCAUUUAUUAAUUUGAAUAAAUGUUUAGUUACCCCAAG